UACAGAGGGUGCGAGCGUUAAUCGGAAUUACUGGGCGUAAAGCGUGCGUAGACGGCUAUUUAGGUCGGGUGUGAAAGCCCCGGGCUCAACCUGGGAAUUGCAUUCGAGACUGAGUAGCUAGGGUGCGGUAGAGGGAAGCGGAAUUUCCGGUGUAGCGGUGAAAUGCGUAGAUAUCGGAAGGAACAUCAGUGGCGAAAGCGGCUUCCUGGACCAGCACCGACGUUCAGGCACGAAAGCGUGGGGAGCAAACAGG
rnacentral:rRNA from 1 species